rnacentral:rRNA from 1 species
GGAGGAAAAGAAACUAACAAGGAUUCCCCUAGUAACGGCGAGUGAAGCGGGAAGAGCUCAAAUUUGUAAUCUGGCCCUUUCAGGGUCCGAGUUGUAAUCUCGAGAAGUGUUUUCCGCGCCGGACCGCAUACAAGUCUGUUGGAAUACAGCGUCAUAGUGGUGAGAGCCCCGUAAUUGAUGUGGAUGCCCGGUGCUUUGUGAUACACUUUCGAAGAGUCGAGUUGUUUGGGAAUGCAGCUCAAAUUGGGUGGUAAAUUCCAUCUAAAGCUAAAUAUUGGCGAGAGACCGAUAGCGAACAAGUACCGUGAGGGAAAGAUGAAAAGCACUUUGGAAAGAGAGUUAACAGUACGUGAAAUUGUUGGAAGGGAAACGCUUGAAGUCAGACUUGCUAUUCGGAAUUCAGCCGCAAGGUGUACUUUUCGAUUUGCAGGCCAGCAUCAGUUUUUGGGGGUGGAAAAGGGUGGAGAGAAGGUAGCAACCUUGGUUGUGUUAUAGCUCUUUACUGGAUUCAUCUUUGGGGACUGAGGAUCGCAGUGCGCAAUUUACUUUGCAAACCUUUCGAGGUUUUCGUACUUAGGAUGCUGGUGGAAUGGCUUUAAACGACCCGUC